rnacentral:tRNA from 1 species
GCUGACCUAGCUCAGUGGUAGAGCGCGUGGCUUUUAACCACGUGGCCGUGGGUUUGAUCGCCACGGUUGGCC